AUUGAACGCUGGCGGCAUGCUUUACACAUGCAAGUCGAACGGUAACAGGCCGCAAGGUGCUGACGAGUGGCGAACGGGUGAGUAAUGCAUCGGAACGUGCCCAGUCGUGGGGGAUAACGCAGCGAAAGCUGUGCUAAUACCGCAUACGAUCUAUGGAUGAAAGCGGGGGACCGUAAGGCCUCGCGCGAUUGGAGCGGCCGAUGUCAGAUUAGGUAGUUGAUGGGGUAAAGGCUCACCAAGCCAACGAUCUGUAGCUGGUCUGAGAGGACGACCAGCCACACUGGGAAUGAGACACGGCCCAGACUCCUACGGGAGGCAGCAGUGGGGAAUUUUGGACAAUGGGCGCAAGCCUGAUCCAGCAAUGCCGCGUGCAGGAAGAAGGCCUUCGGGUUGUAAACCGCUUUUGUCAGGGAAGAAACGCUCUGGGCUAAUACCCUGGGGUAAUGACGGUACCUGAAGAAUAAGCACCGGCUAACUACGUGCCAGCAGCCGCGGUAAGAC
rnacentral:rRNA from 1 species